rnacentral:misc_RNA from 1 species
AGGGAUCAUUACAGAGAACAUCGCCCUCACGGGGGUGACUCUCCAACCCUAUGUUAAUACAACCUUUGUUGCUUUGGCGAGCCGCCUCGGCCACCGGCUUUCGCUGGUGAGUGCUCGCCAGAGGACCCCAAACUCUGUUUAUUAGUGUCGUCUGAGUACUAUAUAAUAGUUAAAACUUUCAACAACGGAUCUCUUGGUUCUG